GACGAACGCUGGCGGCGUGCUUAACACAUGCAAGUCGAACGAAGUGGCGAACGGGUGAGUAAGACGUGGGUAUCCUGCUCUCCUUUUUGGAAUAAGCGUUGGAAACGGGGUCUAAUACCGAAGAAUGGGGGCUGGGCCCGCGGCCUGUCAGUGUGUUGGUGGGGUGAUGGGCUACGAAGGCGGUGACGGGUGGCAGGCCUGAGUGGGAGACCGGCAACAUGGGGACGGCGAUACGGCCCAGACACGUAGGGGAGGGAGCAGUGGGGGAUAUUGCGCAAUGGGCGAAGGGCUGAUGCGGCGGCGCCGCGUGGGGGAUGGGGGCUUUCAGGUUGUAAACCUCUGUCGCUAUCGAACGGGUAGGUGGAGAGGAAGCGCCGGCUAACUACGUGCCAGCAGCCGCGGUAAUUC
rnacentral:rRNA from 1 species